UCCCUGGUGGUCUAGGGGUUAGAACGUGGCACUUUAACUGCUGUGGCUCUGGUUCAAUUCCUAGUCUGGGAA
rnacentral:tRNA from 1 species